rnacentral:rRNA from 1 species
UACAGAGGUCCCGAGCGUUGUUCGGAUUCACUGGGCGUAAAGGGUGCGUAGGCGGCUUUUUAAGUCAGGGGUGAAAUCCUGGAGCUCAACUCCAGAACUGCCUUUGAUACUGAGAAGCUUGAGUCCGGGAGAGGUGAGUGGAACUGCGAGUGUAGAGGUGAAAUUCGUAGAUAUUCGCAAGAACACCAGUGGCGAAGGCGGCUCACUGGCCCGGUACUGACGCUGAGGUGCGAAAGCGUGGGGAGCAAACAGG